GGGGGAAUAUUGGACAAUGGGCGAAAGCCUGAUCCAGCCAUGCCGCGUGUGUGAAGAAGGUCUUCGGAUUGUAAAGCACUUUAAGUUGGGAGGAAGGGCAGUAAGCGAAUACCUUGCUGUUUUGACGUUACCGACAGAAUAAGCACCGGCUAACUCUGUGCCAGCAGCCGCGGUAAUACAGAGGGUGCAAGCGUUAAUCGGAAUUACUGGGCGUAAAGCGCGCGUAGGUGGUUCGUUAAGUUGAAUGUGAAAGCCCCGGGCUCAACCUGGGAACUGCUUCCAAAACUGGCGAGCUAGAGUAGGGCAGAGGGUGGUGGAAUUUCCUGUGUAGCGGUGAAAUGCGUAGAGAUCUGGAGGAAUACCGAUGGCGAAGGCAGCCAUCUGGCCUAACACUGACGCUGAGGUACGAAAGCAUGGGGAUCAAACAGG
rnacentral:rRNA from 1 species